GUUCCUACGGGACGCAGCAGUAGGGAAUCUUCCACAAUGGACGAAAGUCUGAUGGAGCAACGCCGCGUGAGUGAAGAAGGGUUUCGGCUCGUAAAGCUCUGUUGGUAGUGAAGAAAGAUAGAGGUAGUAACUGGCCUUUAUUUGACGGUAAUUACUUAGAAAGUCACGGCUAACUACGUGCCAGCAGUCGCGGUAAUACGUAGGUGGCAAGCGUUGUUCGGUGUUAUUGGGCGUAAAGCGAGUGGAGGC
rnacentral:rRNA from 1 species